UGCAAGUCGAGCGGACAGAUGGGAGCUUGCUCCCUGAUGUUAGCGGCGGACGGGUGAGUAACACGUGGGUAACCUGCCUGUAAGACUGGGAUAACUCCGGGAAACCGGGGCUAAUACCGGAUGGUUGUUUGAACCGCAUGGUUCAAACAUAAAAGGUGGCUUCGGCUACCACUUACAGAUGGACCCGCGGCGCAUUAGCUAGUUGGUGAGGUAAUGGCUCACCAAGGCAACGAUGCGUAGCCGACCUGAGAGGGUGAUCGGCCACACUGGGACUGAGACACGGCCCAGACUCCUACGGGAGGCAGCAGUAGGGAAUCUUCCGCAAUGGACGAAAGUCUGACGGAGCAACGCCGCGUGAGUGAUGAAGGUUUUCGGAUCGUAAAGCUCUGUUGUUAGGGAAGAACAAGUACCGUUCGAAUAGGGCGGUACCUUGACGGUACCUAACCAGAAAGCCACGGCUAACUACGUGCCAGCAGCCGCGGUAAUACGUAGGUGGCAAGCGUUGUCCGGAAUUAUUGGGCGUAAAGGGCUCGCAGGCGGUUUCUUAAGUCUGAUGUGAAAGCCCCCGGCUCAACCGGGGAGGGUCAUUGGAAACUGGGGAACUUGAGUGCAGAAGAGGAGAGUGGAAUUCCACGUGUAGCGGUGAAAUGCGUAGAGAUGUGGAGGAACACCAGUGGCGAAGGCGACUCUCUGGUCUGUAACUGACGCUGAGGAGCGAAAGCGUGGGGAGCGAACAGGAUUAGAUACCCUGGUAGUCCACGCCGUAAACGAUGAGUGCUAAGUGUUAGGGGGUUUCCGCCCCUUAGUGCUGCAGCUAACGCAUUAAGCACUCCGCCUGGGGAGUACGGUCGCAA
rnacentral:rRNA from 1 species